GCACCAUUUAAUGAACUGUGUGAUGUUAUUGAAACUCUCGUGGCCCCAGACUUGUCAUGCCCUGGGGAAGCAUAGUUGCUGAAACAUUU